UGAGGUGUAGCUCAGUGGUAGAAUGCUUGCCUAACAUGCAUGAGACCCUGGGUUAAAUCCUCAGUGUCACAU
rnacentral:tRNA from 1 species